GACGAACGCUGGCGGCGUGCUUAACACAUGCAAGUCGAACGGAAAGGCCCUGCUUUUGUGGGGUUCUCGAGUGGCGAACGGGUGAGUAACACGUGAGUAACCUGCCCUUGACUUUGUGAUAUCUUCAGGAAACUGGGGCUAAUACCGGAUAUGAGCUCCUGCUGCAUGGGGGGGAUUGGAAAGUGUCGGCGGUUGGGGAUUGACUCGCGGCUUAUCAGCUUGUUGGGGGGGUAGUGGCGUACCAGGGCUUUGACGGGUAGCCGGCCUGGGAGGGUGAACGGGCACCUUGGGACUGAGAUACGGACCAGACUCCUACGGUAGGCAGCAGUGGGGAAUAUUGCACAAUGGGCGGAAGCGUGAUGCAGAAACGCCGCGUGCGGGAUGACGGCCUUCGGGUUGUAAACCGCUGUCGACUGUGACGAAGCGUGAGUGACGGUACUGGGUAAAGAAGCACCGGCUAACUACGUG
rnacentral:rRNA from 1 species